UACAGAGGGUGCGAGCGUUGUCCGGAAUCACUGGGCGUAAAGGGCGCGUAGGCGGUCUGCUAAGCGUGUGGUGAAAGCUCGGGGCUCAACCCCGCGUCGGCCACGCGAACUGGUGGACUGGAGCUUGUCAGAGGCAGGCGGAAUUCCGGGUGUAGCGGUGGAAUGCGUAGAGAUCCGGAAGAACACCGGUGGCGAAGGCGGCCUGCUGGGACAAUGCUGACGCUGAGGCGCGACAGCGUGGGGAGCAAACAGG
rnacentral:rRNA from 1 species